AAGUUAGAGUGUGGCCUCACACCUCCAGGGUGUAGGAUCCAAUCCCAGGCUUGUCUUUUUAUUGUUAUUAAGACUGCAUAGUGUCUCAGAGCGAAUCACUGUGGCCUCACACCUCCAGGGGUGUAGGUUCCAAUCCCAUGCUCGUAUUUUCAUUAUUAUUGUUACAGCCGCAUGGUGGCUCAGUUCUGUAGUCCUGUGGCCUCAUACAUUCUGGGUUGUGGGUUUGAUUCCUGGCUCACUGUGUGUGUGGAGGCUUCUGGAUCGUCUGGUUUUCUCUCACAGUUGCAAAACUGGAGUUGCCCAUUGUAGGUCAGUGUCUGCCUUGUGUUGGGGGGAUAGGCUCCAAGCUCACCACAACCCGGUACUGGAUAGAGGUGUGGCCCUUAGAUGUGUUUUGUGGGAUAGGCUCCAAGCUCACCACAACCCGGUACUGGAUAGAGGUUUGGCCCUUAGAUGUGUUUUGUGGGAUAGGCUCCAAGCUCACCACAACCCGGUACUGGAUAGAGGUUUGGCCCUUAGAUGUCUUUUGUGGGAUAGGCUCCAAGCUCACCACAACCCGGUACUGGAUAGAGGUUUGGCCCUUAGAUGUGUUUUGUGGGAUAGGCUCCAAGCUCACCACAACCCGGUACUGGAUAGAGGUUUGGCCCUUAGAUGUCUUUUGUGGGAUAGGCUCCAAGCUCACCACAACCCGGUACUGGAUAGAGGUUUGGCCCUUAGAUGUCUUUUGUGGGAUAGGCUCCAAGCUCACCACAACCCGGUACUGGAUAGAGGUUUGGCCCUUAGAUGUGUUUUGUGGGAUAGGCUCCAAGCUCACCACAACCCGGUACUGGAUAGAGGUUUGGCCCUUAGAUGUCUUUUGUGGGAUAGGCUCCAAGCUCACCACAACCCGGUACUGGAUAGAGGUGUGGCCCUUAGAUGUCUUUUGUGGGAUAGGCUCCAAGCUCACCACAACCCGAUACUGGAGGUUUGGCCCUUAGAUGUGUUUUGUGAAGGUAUUUUAAGGAGCCGUUCAUUCACUAUGUCCUUAACGUUACGCUACUCCUGCUUUUGAAUGUGAAAUGCAGAAGGCAUCAGCGGUAAGGCCCCCGACAACCUUCAUCUACAGUUUAGCUGCUGAUUUAGCUAGCCGGGUCGGCACUGCUGCACUGCUGGACUCCAGUGCAUGAGCGGCAGUCAGGGGCAGCAGCUGUUGAAAGGUGAGCCCCGCGGCACCACUGCCAAAAAGCUGCCCUGGAAAUCACUCUCACUUCGUCGUAUCCGGUGCCGGGCAGCGGGAUCGUAGAAAGCCGCCAGGCUGAUGCACUGACAUACGUGACCAGAAGUAAAAUGGCCGAAACUACAUCGUCACUCCAUUAGCAGCCGGCGCUAAAACCGCAGCCUACCGCUAACUUUAUUCCUGUCUCCCUUUCGGUUUUUUCCUUAAAUCGUCAACCUCUUCUUCAAUUUCUGCUGCGUUGUAUGGCUUUUUAGAAUAUUCGAUAUAGCCGCCCCCCCCAGCCAGCCCCCUAAAUGGAGAACGUGUUGGGGUUGUAUUUCAGUUAGCUGAGCAGCUGGGCUGGCUGAUGCACCAAGGGCUCCCAACAGUAACUAUCCUGAGCAGUCAGGUCGUUUUGCGUAAUUGACAUGUUGUGAAUAAUACAUUAGAGUGUUUUAUUUUUCAAAAGGAAAAUAUGUGCAUUAUUUAUUAACUUACAAGAAUAUUCUACGUUCAGAUUUUUGUUGUUAUAUAUGGACUGUUACUCGUACUAUUGGGGUGUGAGUAUCCGUUCUGGACUGAAACCCGCAACCUUUUGGGCUGAAGCGUACAGCUAAAAACCAUAUCCACACAUGUCCAUGGACCCAGCUGAAGUAUUUUUUUUUAAAUAUUCCGCAUUCAUGCCUCCUGCUGUUCUC